UCUGGCUAAGGAAGAGGAGGAGGAGGAGGAGGACGUGAGCUAGCGAAACGCAGAGGGCUAGAGCUGAUGAUGAAAGAGAGGCACGGCCCUGCGUGAGCAGGCUCGUUUUCAUCAUACGCAGGCACACACACACACACACACACACAGAGAGACGGCGGGCACCCCGCACGCAUGCACACCGCAAUGAACCAAGCGCCCUGCCCGGCAGCCACCGCCGCUCCGGCCCCGGCCCCCGGCCCGGGAAGGGGGCUCGGUCUGCGGCCGGGCAGCCCGGGGGUGAGGAUGGGGACGGUCCUGCCGGGAGGGGACCCAGAGGGAGAAAGAGAGCAACUGGGAGGAAAGGCGCUGCGCUGGAAUGUAAAUGCACCCACGCUAUGGCAAUAUUGCUUGACAGUGCAGGGCGGCUAAUGAAGCUUUUAACUGGGGGGGGGGAGGAGAAGGAAGGUCCUACGGAAAUAUCUUCCGGGAUUAAAACGGAGAGAAGAGGGCUCCUCUUUGUAUUUACACAUACCUAGACGUCUCUCUGUAGCGAAGCAGCCCGCAAGGACCACGAAACUGCAGCACGCACGCACACACAAAAACCCCAAACCCACAGAGCUGAAAAUGGAUAUUUGAAAAAGUAAAUACUGCAUGUGACAAAAAAACUUCGUGAUUUUGUUUUCUCAUGCCCUUACUUCUAAACCAGCUGCACAGCCAAGCUCAGGCUGCUUGGCCCUUAUAACUAUCUUGGCACCGAGUCAAAAGCUGAUAAGCAUUUGGGCGAGACAGCUCAACUGCUGUGCUGGAAGAAAAACAGCUGCCAUGAUUGCUGUUUGAUUGAGAGCGCUUACACACACUCACAAAAAAACAUAUCGGACUGCAAAGACGGGCCACAAAUGCCUGAGGAUUCAGCUUCAGAGGAUCAACACACAUUUCCUUUAAAAAAAAAAAGAAGUUUUAUAUAGUUUCUCCUCCAUUCCUCCUCCCCUUUUUUAAAGAAAACGUACUGCGUUGACUUGCUUUUCUUCUUCCCAUCCCCCCUCCAUAACCUCAAGCAAACUCAAGGAAUUGUGCCAAAAGUCCCGUUGCUAGUUACCAAGUGCAUUUUUUUAAACGUCCCUUUGAUACUUCUUUCCCUCGUGCUUGCCAUGGAAUAUGCAAGUAAGAUAAUCUUUCCAUUACUUACAAGAAGUAAUUAAAAAAGAACUCCUAGCUCCACGUUCCUUUCUCUUUUUCUCUCUUAAGGGGCAAAAGGAGGGAAACGAGGGGGAGAAGGAUGUUUUUUCUCUUUGCCGAGUCCAACAUUUGGCUUUUUCCAUUUGUGGCAGAUCACUGUAACGCUAUUGUAAAACAACUUCCUGCCCCUUUUGGCUCACGUUCCAGAAGCUGCUAGGCUAAGUUCAUAGCACAAACUUUUUUCCCCCUUGCCGAAGAAGAAAGACAAAAAAAAAUUUCCUGCAAAUUAUUUUCCCCCUUUUCUGGCUAAUGGACUCACGAGGUGAAUUGAUUGCAGCUCUUUAAGAAUGUUACACCAGAGACGUCGGUAUCCCAGCUGGAUAAUUCAUAAGCUGAAAAGGCAGCUAUCCACAUUUUAAGAUUCUCCUACAGCUCAUUACCUCCAAACAAAGCACAACUGUAUGAAUGCUUUAAGGCAAAAAACACCCCAAAAAUAAAUGGAACUGACAUUGCCUUGACACUCUCUUUAGUCUUUUAAAUCCUGCAGACAACAGAAAAGCAAUAUUAGUACUGAAGAACACAUGGUAAAAGGAGAUGGACCUCAUAAUUAAUAUGUUUACUAAUGAAAAUACAACUAAGUAACACAAGGGAGGAAAAUACCUAUGCUAACCUGACAAUAUUAUUUUUAUUGGAUAACAGGUAUAGUAAAUAUACCUUUCCCCUCUGGCUUCCACUAAAAUCUAAAGCUAGUGGACUUUGGGAAUUUCAAGUAACGAAUAAAGGACACAGAAGGGUUGGUUUCAGUAUUGCUGUAGUCAGCGUCACUUGCUGCUCACGUACUAACUCUGCUCUUCACGUUCGGCUCAGCUUUGAAUGCAACUUUUCAUUAAAAGGGCACAAUGUUUCAGUUGCUUGGCCACUUCUUUUGUUUAAAGAGCUUGUUUUGCUGUAUUACAGAAUGCACUUUUAAAUCUAAGAGUAGGUUAUUGGGAAUGUUUGUUUAAAUAACACAACUUCAAGAAAACUAAGGGAAAGACGUAACAUUUUACUUGAAAUGACUGGAAUGCAAAGAAAACAAAUAAAAACGAGGAAAGAGAAAGAAAGAGUAAAUUUUGCUGUCUUACACAAAAGAGAGUGAGAGUACUCCGUAUCAGGCAAACACGUAUUGUGGCACGUAAUCCGAAGGAGAAAAAAAAAGAAGGCUUGGAAUUCAGCAACAGUUAAAAAAACGUGGCGUGCUCUCUUCUCCAGAGAGGAGAGUCUGGUGCAGAAGGCAAACCUGCGUAGCAAACGCAGAAGGCCACCCCAGGCUCCCUGCCCCGCGCCCUGGGGAAGCCUGGGGAGAAGGAUGCGCUGGGCAAGGCGGAGGCCGCGGUCCUGCCCACACGCUCCUCCCAGCCCCCCGGCAGGAUCGAGCCACCGCCAGCAGGGUGAAGCCUCCCGCUCCAGAAGGGUGGACUGAACACGAGAGGUGCCCACGACCGUGCAGAAGACGCAGACGGAGAACAUCCGUGGGACGGCUUACUGCUCGUUACCGGAGCAGUCUACGAGAAGUCCGGAGAAACACGACCGCCAACAGCACAGCAGCCAGCAUCUGCAGGAUUGUACCCUAAACCAGCAGGAACGUCAGCCGAACCCACCCUGCGCUCCAUUAUGCCAAUACAGUAGGGUCUUCCAGGGAUUUAUAGUGGUAUAAAAUGUGAAAAAAAAAAAAACCAAACCAGUAAGCCCAGAGAUACCCAAGUCUGAGAGCUAAAAUUUACUGUCAUGCACAUUUUCACCUUGAUCCUGUUCGUGUUGACAGCCACAGAAUACUACUGUAGUAUUACUUAUUUUUGUGAUGGCAACACUGUAAGUUCCCCCCAAUACGCACACAUCCCUUGUGCUCAGUUUUAACCCUGCUGUGUUUUACACAACUUUGCUGUCAUCAGCAAUUAAGGGCUUUUUUUCUUUUUUUGACAGAAGGAAGAAAUGUGGAAAAGCAGUAUUUUGACUCAAGAUAGGUAUUUACAGUUUAACUAUUUUAUGAUCUAUCAUUGUAUUUCACAGAUUUUACCACUGAGCAAAGAACAGCAUAUAGAUGAAAAAUAAUAAACAUCUUUCAGUGAAAGGUAAUAGUUUUCUAUAUGCAAGUCUUCCAGGUAAUUUAUCUCAGCUACCAGGUUUAUCUAUGUUCCCUGGUCACAGCAACUAAAAAUGAGAUGCGUCACAUUCUGCCACCAGUUACUUCUGAAGCCAAAAAAAAAAAAAAAAGAAAAGAAAAAUCAGCAUUUUUGCAUAAAAUUAGUGAUAAAUGUGAGGAUGUCCUAGUUCACUUUGGCUUAGCACCCCACGCUCGGCUUCACAGGGCUCUGUGUGCGUGCGUGCGUGUAUAUUUACUUGGUGCAACACAAAGAAAAUGUUAUGAAAAAGGUGAUGAAUACAAUCUGCUGGGACACAGCAUCACGUUUCCUUACAGGCUGAGAAACAAUGCUUAAUCUGAGACCUCAGAGGCCCAGGUUUAAUGCUGCAAUUGCCACGAGGUUUCUCUCUUUCUUCUAAGAGAAAAAUUCUCUAAUUUUCACUAGUCUAAUGCUUCUUCAUUUGGAACAGUCCAGCGGGGGGAAGGGGAAAAAAAAAAACCAAAACAGUUUAAAGGCUGAAAACAGAGCAAUUGAAUUACUGGCAGCACGAGGGGAAGACCCAAGCAAUAUAUUUAGUUCAACAAGGGAUUAAGUGCCACAGCCAUUGGUAAGUAAAGAGCUAAUACGUCCUCUUUGAAAUAGUUUGACUUUUACUCUCGCUGUGACUGCCGCACGCUCGGAGGUUGGGGUGAGGCAAACCUGAUACUCUGCCAUUCUCUGCCAGCACGUGCCUAAAUUAGUUCUCCAUUUUGUGGUGGCCCUCUGAGAGCAAUUCCCAUUGAGAAGUGAACAAAGGCCGCGACCCCGGGGUCAGAGUGUAAUGCAGGAAGCAUGACCUCCCCUUUGUUCCGAACAGCACUGUUUACUCUGCCUAAGUAAAGAUCACCAAUACAUUAACUAAAGAGGAUUAAAAAGGUCAUAUCCCUAGGGAUGGAGCUCACGCAAGUGGCAACUCUCUUCAGUCACUAAAUCAUUUGACUUUGCUCCUACCCCCCCCCCUUCAAAAUAGAGACACCUUAAGCUGCCAAGGCUCAAUGGCACAUUAAUUCCUGAGCAAAAGUACAUAUGAACUUCAUGUGGUCUUCUUCCAAAACUAGGUUAAUUUCUGCACAGAUAGCCAGCUGUUUUGAAGUUAUUUUUAAAGUUAUAAAAACAUUUUAAGAGAAAACUAGCACCUCAAUACAAUUUUUUUUCUUUUUUAUCUCCUUUUGAAAAGUUCCAAGCUGAUUUAUAAAAUAUUUUGGGUCUUAAAAUGGUUAUUAAAAAGUGUCAUCUUUUGUAGCUAUUAUACAUGUGAAUCUUAAAAUAUCCUGUAGUAUGUGGAUAGGCAGAAAAGUUGCCUGUUGCUGUAGACAAUUUCUAACUCCAGGAUGGUUCACUUGCAAAAAAGAAACCAAGGAAAAUAAAGUGAAAAUAUGCUGCCUACGAGAAUUCACGUAUGCCAAUAGCUAGGCUUAAUCAGGCUAAAUAAGCGCUUCUUUUUUCUGUUAAGCUUUCUGUAUCAACAUUUUUAUAAUAUCUUACAACACCACUAUUAUUAUGAAAUAUAUUAGCAGAAGCAUGUCUUGAAAAGGCUAAAUUAAUGCUGCAUUGGUAACAUAUGCGAGGCGACGUGGCCAAUUAGACGGCAUGCUGGAUUGUCUCCUUUCCACUCCCACCUCUAAUCUGCUGGCCUGCUGGAUGAUCCCAACUUUUGCUUUGUGCCUUGGUUUCCUCAUCUGUGGUGAUAUCGCUCACUGGGAUGCAGAUGUUACCAUCAGUUACUGCGCCAGGAUGGGAGAAAAAGAGCAUGUGGAAGGGAGUGGUCUAGACUAAGAUAUUUUCCCCCUCUCUUCCCUCAGGCAGAAGCACUUCUGAUGAAGCUGAACGUUGCGAGAGGUUCCAGAAGAAAAUAAUAGGAAUAAGGCCACGCAGGGGGUCCAAGCUGAUCAAAGUCUUUGGCGCAGGGAGCUCAGCACCACAGACAAACCCCACAGGGGCUAAAUGCAGUUGAAAUCAGCACUAGAUCACCCACCAUGCCAGCUGACUUUGAAAGGAGGACCGAGGAGUGCCAGACUCCAAAAAACAAGGUCCUAGAGCAGCACAGUGCAGGAGUUCACUGCGUGGAUUACAUAGGGGUAAGGGGGACAGGGUGUUCUUCAAUUCUCAGAUACCUUGUGAAAAAUAGCUAUUUUUGAAUCCACAACAAUACAUGCAGCUUUCUAGUCUCUAGCAACAUAAAUUAAUGCAUAAAGUGUGGCAAGCUGGGGUGUCAUUAUACCCAGCCUGCAUUCACACCGGUACGCUCUGUCCCUUCCCGUCUCUUCUGCUAGCCCUGCAUCCUCAAGCAUCAGGCAGGACGAGGAAGGAAGAUUCUUUGCACUCCUCUUCAGGACAUUCGAGAAGUCACUUUCCCUGUCUGCAGGCUUCUUCAAAGCAGGAACCCAUGCAUUUCAAAUGUUUUCAAAAGGAUGUGAACAGAUAAAUGAAAUCAAGAAUCCAAUAAAAAUAACAUUACAUUUGCCUUA